rnacentral:rRNA from 1 species
ACCACCCUGACCACCUGCCAUGAUCAUCUUUGAUGGUUGGGUGGGUGUGAUGCGUGGGGCCUGAUCUGUAGUAGUCAAGUGAUGGGGUGACACAGAUUGGUAGCUACGCCACUUAGUGGAUUGUGGUGCAAGCGUGCGGCACGGCACCUAGUUAAAUGCGGGUGCCUUAUGUGUGAGGCGUGAUGCGUAACCCUUGUUGGGUGAUGGUAGUGAUCCUGUGCUGUCGAGAAAAGCCUCUAGCGAUGUGUAUAUACGGCCCGUACCCGAAACCGACACAGGUAGUCAAGUAGAACAUACUCAGGCGGUCGGGUGAACUGUGGUUAAGGAACUCGGCAAAUUGCCCCCGUAACUUCGGGAGAAGGGGGGCCACAACUGGUGAUCCGAACAUGCGUUGGUGAGCUGGUUGGGGUCGCAGAAAAGAGAGGGAAGCGACUGUUUAUCAAAAACACAGGUCCGUGCGAAGACGGUUAAGUUGAUGUAUACGGACUGACGCCUGCCCGGUGCUGGAAGGUUAAGAGGACCUGUUAGGACAUAUGUGUCCGAAGCGGAGAAUUUAAGCCCCAGUAAACGGCGGUGGUAACUAUAACCAUCCUAAGGUAGCGAAAUUCCUUGUCGGGUAAGUUCCGACCUGCACGAAUGGCGUAACGACUUCCCUGCUGUCUCAACCACAGGCCCGGUGAAAUUGCACUACGAGUAAAGAUGCUCGUUUCGCGCGGCAGGACGAAAAGACCCCGGGACCUUCACUAUAGCUUGGUAUUGGUGUUUACUGCGGUUUGUGUAGCAUAGGUGGGAGACUUAGAAGCGCUCACGCUAGUGGGUGUGGAGUCGUCAAGUGAAAUACCACUCUGACCGUAGUGGAUGUCUUAACCUUGGCCCAUGAUCUGGGUUGGGGACAGUGCCUGGUGGGUAGUUUAACUGGGGCGGUUGCCUCCCAAAGAGUAACGGAGGCGCCCAAAGGUUCCCUCAGCCUGGUUGGCAAUCAGGUGUUUAGAGUGUAAGUGCACAAGGGAGCUUGACUGCGAGACCUACGAGUCGAGCAGGGACGAAAGUCGGGACUAGUGAUCCGGCACCUACUUGUGGAUGUGGUGUCGCUCAACGGAUAAAAGGUACCCCGGGGAUAACAGGCUGAUCUUCCCCAAGAGUCCAUAUCGACGGGAUGGUUUGGCACCUCGAUGUCGGCUCGUCGCAUCCUGGGGCUGGAGUAGGUCCCAAGGGUUGGGCUGUUCGCCCAUUAAAGCGGCACGCGAGCUGGGUUCAGAACGUCGUGAGACAGUUCGGUCUCUAUCCGCCGCGCGCGCAGAAACUUGAGAAAGGCUGUCCCCAGUACGAGAGGACCGGGACGGACGUACCUCUGGUGUGCCAGUUGUUCCGCCAGGAGCACCGCUGGUUGGCUACGUACGGAAGGGAUAACCGCUGAAAGCAUCUAAGCGGGAAGCCUGUUUCAAGAUGAGGUUUCAUAGGUUCCCCAUAGACGAUGGGGUUGAUAGGCCAGAUCUGGACGCACCGUGACGUGCGAAGGUGACUGGUACUAAUACACCAACCAACAAACCAC